CUCGGUGCUGUCAUUCUGAUGGGGCUGGCUGUUGCAGAGCUCCAGGUUAACUUCUUCAGAAGAGAGGGCCCGGUGAGACGUUGGUGUAUGGAGGCAGACGGGUCCCCAUGACACGGUGCCACAGAGGAGCACUCCUCCGUCUGCUGGAGCGUCGCGGGGGGAACGUCUCCUGCAGGAAUUGUCCUCAGCGUGCUGCCAGACAAGCAAACCCAUUGUUGGGCCCCUUGGCUUGAAGGCUUGAAGAUGAAGUCCACUCGCCAUCUGGCCCUUCGUGACUGAUUGGAAGCCUGACUCGUUUGCGGGAUGCUCUGUGAACCGCAGCGUGGCGAGCCUUACUGACACCGUGCUGUUAACUCGGAAAGCAGGCUGGGAAUGGCAGUUUGGCAUGAGUCCUGAAGGAGAUCGUUCACAGCCUGGGCUGUUGCAGGGGAAGGUGCCUACUCCAAAACCA